UACCCCUUUGAGCACCGGAUA
rnacentral:miRNA from 1 species